rnacentral:rRNA from 1 species
CACAAGCGGUGGAGUAUGUGGUUUAAUCGAUGCAACGCGAAGAACCUUACCUGGUCUUGACAUCCCGGAGACCCUUAGGAAACUAGGGGUGCUUCCAUCUGGAAGAAUCUGGAGACAGGUGCUGCAUGGCUGUCGUCAGCUCGUGUCGUGAGAUGUUGGGUUAAGUCCCGCAACGAGCGCAACCCUUGCCUUUAGUUGCCAGCAGUUCGGCUGGGCACUCUAAAGGGACUGCCGGUGUUAAACCGGAGGAAGGUGGGGAUGACGUCAAGUCCUCAUGGCCUUUAUGACCAGGGCUACACACGUACUACAAUGGCCGAUACAAAGGGCAGCGACACUGCGAGGUGAAGCCAAUCCCGUAAAAUCGGUCUCAGUCCGGAUUGGAGUCUGCAACUCGACUCCAUGAAGUUGGAAUCGCUAGUAAUCGUGGAUCAGCAUGCCACGGUGAAUACGUUCCCGGGCCUU